rnacentral:rRNA from 1 species
GGCGGCAGGCUUAACACAUGCAAGUCGAGCGGGCGUAGCAAUACGUCAGCGGCAGACGGGUGAGUAACGCGUGGGAACAUACCUUUUGGUUCGGAACAACACAGGGAAACUUGUGCUAAUACCGGAUAAGCCCUUACGGGGAAAGAUUUAUCGCCGAAAGAUUGGCCCGCGUCUGAUUAGCUAGUUGGUGAGGUAACGGCUCACCAAGGCGACGAUCAGUAGCUGGUCUGAGAGGAUGAUCAGCCACAUUGGGACUGAGACACGGCCCAAACUCCUACGGGAGGCAGCAGUGGGGAAUAUUGGACAAUGGGCGCAAGCCUGAUCCAGCCAUGCCGCGUGAGUGAUGAAGGCCCUAGGGUUGUAAAGCUCUUUUGUGCGGGAAGAUAAUGACGGUACCGCAAGAAUAAGCCCCGGCUAACUUCGUGCCAGCAGCCGCGGUAAUACNAAGGGGGCUAGCGUUGCUCGGAAUCACUGGGCGUAAAGGGUGCGUAGGCGGGUCUUUAAGUCAGGGGUGAAAUCCUGGAGCUCAACUCCAGAACUGCCUUUGAUACUGA